ensembl:lncRNA
CUGCAGAAGCUGGCAGUCCGUGGCUUGGACCGGUACACUCUUGGCUGGGUAAGGAACUGGCUGGAGGGCCGGGCCCAGAGAGUGGUGGUGAAUGGAGUUAAAUCCAGCUGGCGACCGGUCACGAGUGGUGUUCCCCAGGGGUCGGUGCUGGGGCCUGUCCUCUUCAAUAUCUUUAUUGAUGACCUGGAUGAGGACAUUGGGUGCACCCUCAGCAAGUUUGCAGAUGACACCAAGCUGGCUGGAAGUGCUGAUCUGCCUGAGGGUAGCGAGGCCUUACAGAGGGAUCUGGAUAGGUUGAAUAGCUGGGCUGAAGCCAAUGGGAUGGGAUUCAACAAGACCAAAUGUCAGGUCCUGCACUUUGGCCACAACAACCCCAGGCAACGCUACAGGCUCGGGGCAGUGUGGCUGGAACACUGUGUAGGGGAAAUGGAGCUGGGGGUGUUGAUUGACGCUCGACUGAACAUGAGCCAGCAGUGUGCCCAGGUGGCCAAGAAGGCCAAUGGCAUCCUGGCUUGUAUCAGAAAUAGUGUGGCCAGCAGGAACAGGGAAGUAAUUGUCCCCCUCUACUCAGCACUGGUGAGGCCGCACCUCGAGAACCAUGUCCAGUUUUGGGCCCCUCGCUGUAAGAAAGACAUUGAGGCCCUGGAGCGUGUCCAGAGGAGGGCAACAGAGCUGGUGAAGGGUCUGGAGCACAGGCCUUAUGAGGAGUGGCUGAAGGAGCUGGGAUUGUUCAGUCUAGAGAAGAGGAGGCUCAGGGGAGACCUUAUUGCUCUCUAUAACUACCUGAAGGGAGGUUGUAGUGAGCUGGGGGUCAGCCUCUUCUCUCGGGUGACUAGUGAUAGGACUAGAGGGAAUGGCUUCAAGCUGCGCCAGGGAAGGUUCAAGCUGGACGUUAGGAAAUACUAGUUCUCUGAAAGAGUGGUCAGGCACUGGAAUGGGCUGCCCAGAGAGGUGGUGGAGUCACCAAGCCUGGUGGUGUUCAAAGAGUGUUCGGAUGUUGUGUUGAGGGACAUGGUUUAGUGCGAACCACUGGUGAUGGGUGGAUGGUUGGACUGGAUGAUCCUGUGGGUCUUUUCCAACCUUAGUGAUUCUCUGAUUCUCUGAUUCUCUGAUUCACAUACACAUCUUAUUAUGAUAGGAAAAGAGUAAUAUUCUUC